rnacentral:rRNA from 1 species
GGGAACCCAAUAUCUUUUAUAGGAUAUUACUUUUCAGUGAAUACAUAGCUGAUUAGAGGUAGACGCAGAGAACUGAAACAUCUUAGUACCUGCAGGAAGAGAAAGAAAAUUCGAUUCCCUGAGUAGCGGCGAGCGAAACGGGAAGAGCCCAAACCAACAAGCUUGCUUGUUGGGGUUGUAGGACUCCAAUAUGGUAGUCUGUUAGUAUAGUUGAAGGAUUUGGAAAAUUCCGCUAAAGAGGGUGAAAGCCCCGUAGACGAAAUGCUAACAACACCUAGGAGGAUCCUGAGUACGGCGGAACACGAGAAAUUCCGUCGGAAUCCGCGGGGACCAUCCCGCAAGGCUAAAUACUCCCUAGUGACCGAUAGUGAACCAGUACCGUGAGGGAAAGGUGAAAAGCACCCCGGAAGGGGAGUGAAAUAGAUCCUGAAACCGUGUGCCUACAACAAGUCAAAGCUCGUUAAUGAGUGAUGGCGUGCCUUUUGUAGAAUGAACCGGCGAGUUACGAUUGCAUGCGAGGUUAAGUCGAAGAGACGGAGCCGCAGCGAAAGCGAGUCUGAAUAGGGCGAAUGAGUAUGUAGUCGUAGACCCGAAACCAUGUGAUCUACCCAUGUCCAGGUUGAAGGUGCGGUAAAACGCACUGGAGGACCGAACCCACGUACGUUGAAAAGUGCGGGGAUGAGGUGUGGGUAGCGGAGAAAUUCCAAACGAACUUGGAGAUAGCUGGUUCUCUCCGAAAUAGCUUUAGGGCUAGCCUCGGAAUUGAGAAUGAUGGAGGUAGAGCACUGUUUGGACUAGGGGCCCAUCUCGGGUUACCGAAUUCAGAUAAACUCCGAAUGCCAUUCAUUUAUAUCCGGGAGUCAGACUGCGAGUGAUAAGAUCCGUAGUCGAAAGGGAAACAGCCCAGACCACCAGCUAAGGUCCCAAAAUAUAUGUUAAGUGGAAAAGGAUGUGGGGUUGCACAGACAACUAGGAUGUUGGCUUAGAAGCAGCCACCAUUUAAAGAGUGCGUAAUAGCUCACUAGUCGAGUGACCCUGCGCCGAAAAUGUACCGGGGCUAAACAUAUUACCGAAGCUGUGGACUACACCAUUAGGUGUAGUGGUAGGAGAGCGUUCUAAGGGCGUUGAAGGUCGAUCGUGAGGACGGCUGGAGCGCUUAGAAGUGAGAAUGCCGGUAUGAGUAGCGAAAGACAGGUGAGAAUCCUGUCCACCGUAUGACUAAGGUUUCCUGGGGAAGGCUCGUCCGCCCAGGGUUAGUCGGGACCUAAGCCGAGGCCGAUAGGCGUAGGCGAUGGACAACAGGUUGAUAUUCCUGUACCAGUUGUUUUUGUUUGAGCAAUGGAGGGACGCAGUAGGCUAAGGAAUGCAUGCGAUUGGAAGUGCAUGUCCAAGCAAUGAGUCUUGAGUAGAGUUAAAUGCUUUACUCUUUAAGGACAAGUUGUGACGGGGAGCGAAAUAAUAGUAGCGAAGUUCCUGAUGUCACACUGCCAAGAAAAGCUUCUAGUGAGAAAACAACUGCCCGUACCGUAAACCGACACAGGUAGUCGAGGAGAGUAUCCUAAGGUGAGCGAGCGAACUCUCGUUAAGGAACUCGGCAAAAUGACCCCGUAACUUCGGGAGAAGGGGUGCUGACUUCGGUCAGCCGCAGUGAAUAGGCCCAAGCGACUGUUUAUCAAAAACACAGGUCUCUGCAAAAUCGUAAGAUGAAGUAUAGGGGCUGACGCCUGCCCGGUGCUGGAAGGUUAAGAGGAUGGGUUAGCUUCGGCGAAGCUCAGAAUUGAAGCCCCAGUAAACGGCGGCCGUAACUAUAACGGUCCUAAGGUAGCGAAAUUCCUUGUCGGGUAAGUUCCGACCCGCACGAAAGGCGUAACGAUUUGGGCACUGUCUCAACGAGAGACUCGGUGAAAUUUUAGUACCUGUGAAGAUGCAGGUUACCCGCGACAGGACGGAAAGACCCCAUGGAGCUUUACUGUAGUUUGAUAUUGAGUGUUUGUACCACAUGUACAGGAUAGGUAGGAGCCGAUGAGACCGGAACGCUAGUUUCGGAGGAGGCGCUGGUGGGAUACUACCCUUGUGUUAUGAACCCUCUAACCCGCACCACUAAUCGUGGUGGGAGACAGUGUCAGAUGGGCAGUUUGACUGGGGCGGUCGCCUCCUAAAAGGUAACGGAGGCGCCCAAAGGUUCCCUCAGAAUGGUUGGAAAUCAUUCGAAGAGUGUAAAGGCAGAAGGGAGCUUGACUGCGAGACCUACAAGUCGAGCAGGGACGAAAGUCGGGCUUAGUGAUCCGGUGGUUCCGCAUGGAAGGGCCAUCGCUCAACGGAUAAAAGCUACCC